rnacentral:lncRNA from 1 species
CUGGUUUGAAUCACAGCUCUGCCAUUUACAAUCUUUCUGGCUUGGGGCAAGUCACUUAACUUCUCUCAUCUUCAAUUGCUUCAUCUAAAAUCUGGACAUAAUAUGAUCCACCUCACAGAAUUUUUCCAAGAAUGACAUAUGAGAAUACUUAGCAAAAAGAACAGUAGCAAAGUAAAGAUACUCCAUAAUUGUUUUUAAUAUCAAGCUAGACAGAGUUCUGUUUUUCCUCUCUGGUCAUGGGAUAAAAAGCCUUGAGCACUUACGGUAACCCUUUCUCUUAACUAUCCUCCAAGAUUCUGGGGCCCAAACCCCAGAUUUACAUGUACACAAAUGAAAGGAUAUAGUAGUCAAACACCAAAUGCUUAAUUUCAAGAGAACAACACAACAGCAAUUUUUACCUAAAACCACCUCCAAUAACAACUCAGAGAAAUUCUCGAAUUCCACAGUUAGUAUUAAUUAUCUAUUAUUUAUUUUGACGGUUUCCAUUUACAGCAUAAAUUUACCUGAUAGAAGUAAUAUAUGAAUCUUAUCAGCCAUUUAUAUCUCAAUAGGAAUGACUUUAUGAUAUAAUUUUUCUGAGACCACAUAUAGCCACGAAGGAAACAUGAGGUACGUGAGGUCUCUGCAUGGUUCCUACAAGAAGAAUAGCCUAUAGGAAGGGGACUUGGAAGCUCUGGAAAGGUCAAAUUCUCUUGGUCCAGAUUUUGCAUCGAACAUAUCCCAUGUGGACAGGAAAUCUAGGACAGGAUCCUAAACUAGGAAAUAACUUUGCUGGGCAGACAGUCUUCUUAGUCUUGCACAGAAAAUUACUUCAAGGUUGCCAGCUUUCACAAAUAAAAAUGCAGGAUGCUCACUGAAAUGUGAAUGUCAGAUAAAGAAUAACUUUUUAUUUAAAUAUAACAUAAUUCUACUUUAUAGUGUACAUUACUCAUUGUUUAUCUGAGUUUUUAACUGAGUGUCCUGUAUUUCAUUAGGCAACCUACUUCACAUUCUUGAAAGGUCCAGGGGCAGUAGGACCCAGAAACUUUUCUAAGACUCAGAUGUCAGAUUACAAACAGAAUAAUAUGAUAGUCAAUAUUAUCACUGCGAAAGAAAGAUUGUAGGAUGAGAUUUACUAUUCAUGCAGAGAGAAGCAUCUCUGUGACCUUCCUGUUCCAAGAGAUGGAUGGUAUACUGAAGCUGUGUUUCUUUAUCCGUUUGUGCAUUCAUUUGUGCUGGAAAUAGUUCCUGGGCAAACACCACACUCCAGCACUGUGCUUGUUCCUGGGAAUAAAGCAGUGAACAAGACAAGUACUAUCUGUGCCCUAACAAAGCUCUCAGUCCAUUGGGGGCUAGACACUAAGCAGCAAUCCUCAUAUUUAAUACAAUACUAGCAACUAUUACAAGUGCUAUGAGCUAAGGCCAGAGAAGCAAAAUAUGCUACUUCAGCUGGCAUUUACUGAUCUUGUUCCAUGUAUAUGGCCCUGCACUGGGUAAUGUUAAGCAAAUAAAGAUGAGGAAAAUGUACUCCCUGCUUUCAAGGGCUUAUGAUUUAGUAAGGAAGACUUACAUGUAUAUGAGCAAACUAAGACCAAUUCUGAUAAAGUUCUAAUGAGGACACUCCUAUGUCCAUUUGCAGCAAGAAAUGCAGCUUCUUCUUUUUUUUUUUUUUUUGAGAUGGAGUUUGAUCUGUUG